GUGCUUGCUUUGGCAACACAUAUACUAAAAUUGGCACGAUACAGAGAAGAUUUAGCAUGGCCCCUGCGCAAGGAUGACACGCAAAUUCGUGAAGCAUUCCAUAUUUUU
rnacentral:snRNA from 1 species